GAGGAAUGAGAGUGCAGCUUGUCUCCGUCGUGGAUCUAUUACGCGCUUCCGUGUGUGCUCCAAACUGGAGUGCUUCAUCUGCAGCGCGCUCGCCAUUACGCGUGAGAUAAUGCGUGUUUGUCAACGGAGAUGGUUCAUGAGUGUGGUUUGAGCUGGUAGAAAGGCAACAUUUACUCAAAUAACCACAGGUUACCUCCGAGGUCUGCAGAAGAGCAUCUCUGAAUGCACAACACAUUGAACCAUGAAGCAGAUGGGCUACAGCAGCAGAAGACCACACCGGGUGACACUCCUGUCUGCUAUGAACAGGAAACUGAGGCUACAAUUUGCAUAGGCUCACCAAUUUGGACAAUAGAAGACUGGAAAAACUUUGCCUGGUCUGAGUCUCAAUUUCUGCUGCAACAUUUAGAUGGUAGGGUCAGAGUUUGGCGUAAACAACAGGAAAGCAUGGAUCCAUCCUGCCUUGUAUCAGCAGUUCAGGCUGGUGGUGGUGUAAUGGUGUGUGGGAUAUGUUCUUGGCACACUUUUGGCCCCUUGGUACCAAUUGAGCAUCGUUUAAACGCCACAGCCUACCUGAGUAUUGUUGCUGACCAUGUACAUGCGACUAAACUUCCAGCAGGAUAACGAACAAUGUCGCAAAGCUCAAAUCAUAUCAAUCUGGUUUCUUGAACAUGACAAUGAGUUCACUAAACUCAUAUGACCUCCACAGUCACCAGAUCUCCAUCCAAUAGAGCACCUUGGGGAUGUGGUGGAAGGGGAGAUUCACAUCAUGGAUGCGCAGCCAACAAAUCUGCAGCAACUGUGUGAUGCUAUCAUGUGAAUAUGGACCAAAAUCUCUGAGGAAUGUUUUCAGCACCUUGUUGAAUCUAUGUCAUGAAGAAUUAAUGCAGUUCUGAGUACUAGCGAGAUGUUGGCUACAUAUAAACUGGCCUGUGAGACUAUAUUGCAUGACAAAAAUGGCUUAUAUAGUUAGUUGAUGGAAAAUCAAAAAGAACAAACAAAAUACAACUUUAGGAUAAUGUAUUAGGUCACACCGGAAGUUUUUGGUUGUUCAGUUAUAGCUAUUUGAUUGCCCUGUUCUGAUCAUUUCUUCAAGGUGUUCACUAGGUGGCGCAAAAGUGUAGCCUAAGCGACUAAAGAAUUACUUUCCCCCUAAAAAUGGUGUGAGUCAGAUUCCAAUGAUGAAAUAAAUGAGGGAGGUGAUAUAAACCAGUGAUGAAAUAUUUGAAAUUCAAGUUCAUCUGCCGUUUGUAACAGAUACUCUGGAAUUCUUACUCAAUCGGUUCCCUAACUCACAGGAGGACAUUAUUGAGGAAAUGAGGUGAAAAGAGUGUGGUGCAAUUUGGGAAUAUUGUGUGCGUCAUGUGUGUAGUUGACAGCUAUACUCCCAUCUAAAACAACAACAUUUUAAACAUGGUUUUAAUUAUUGUAUAAUUAUUAGUUUUAUGAGCUUGUAUGUUAAUUGGGAGACUACAUGGAAUAUUUAUACUUAAAAGUAAUUUGUCAUACUUCACAUAUGCAUGCAUUUUAACCUACAUUCUUGGUGUCAGAGCACAAAAGUUCAUGUCCAUGUUAUUCCUACUCAUAUUGUUAUGUGUGUUAUAUAUAGGCUAUAAUAUUAUAAAAAAUUAUAUUUGUCCAAAAAUAUAACAAAGAACAAUAUUGCCAUUGCCAUUUAAGUUGCUAAAUAAUUUGUUGAUAUAAUUUUCCACUCUGCUAAUUUGGCCAAAUAAAUGGAGAUAAUGGAAUGAAUAAAUGUGAACUACAACA